rnacentral:rRNA from 1 species
GUGCCAGCCGCCGCGGUAAUACGGAGGGUGCGAGCGUUGUCCGGAAUCACUGGGCGUAAAGGGCGCGUAGGCGGUUCGGUAAGUUGUUGGUGAAAUCCCGGGGCUCAACUCCGGGGCUGCCAGCAAGACUGUCGGACUUGAGCACGGUAGGGGCAGAUGGAAUUCCCGGUGUAGCGGUGGAAUGCGUAGAGAUCGGGAAGAAUACCAGUGGCGAAGGCGUUCUGCUGGGCCGUUGCUGACGCUGAGGCGCGACAGCGUGGGGAGCAAACAGGAUUAGAAACCCUCGUAGUCC